rnacentral:rRNA from 1 species
UACGAAGGGAGCUAGCGUUGUUCGGAAUCACUGGGCGUAAAGCGCACGUAGGCGGAUGUGUCAGUCAGGGGUGAAAUCCCGGAGCUCAACUUCGGAACUGCCUUUGAUACAGCACGUCUUGAGUCCGAUAGAGGUGGGUGGAAUUCCUAGUGUAGAGGUGAAAUUCGUAGAUAUUCGGAGGAACACCAGAAGCGAAGGCGGCUCACUGGCCCGGUACUGACGCUGAGGUGCGAAAGCGUGGGGAGCAAACAGG